rnacentral:lncRNA from 1 species
CAGCUUCCUGGGGUGCGUAGCUGAAGGUAGCAGGGAGCAAAAAGAAUCUGAAGGGGAAGUGAACAAUGUAGAGCGUAUCUGUGCUGAAGACGUAAGGAGAGAGUGGAGGUCAGAAGCUGGCAUGGUCCCUGGUGCAUGUAUCAGCCGCUAAAGCUGGAGUGGAUGAAUCAGAACUUUCCCCAUGGGAGCAUUUAUAAAAAGGGGACACCCAGCGCAGAAGAUGUUUUCCAGGGAGAUCUCGGGGAGCCCAACAAGCCAAGAAGAGCAGAGCAAAGCAUUCCAAGGAAGGACUCUAAGUCUGCAACCGAGCACACACGAGAGGCAGGGUCCUGCUGUGUCGUACAGGCUGGAGUGCAGUGGUGCAAUCAUGGCUUACUGCAGCUUCAACCUCUUGGGCUCAAGCCAUCCUCCUGCCUUGGACUCCCAAGUAGCUGGGACUACAGCACAAGGAAAGACCAUGUGAAUACACAGCAAGAACGUGGUGCUCUGCAAGUCAGAAACAGACCCGUCAUCAGA